UUACUUUCUUGCUCUGUGAAAUGUGUACACGCUACACGUGAUAUUCCUUUUUUAAUAAUAUCCUUUCAGGAAGAUGACGACAGCAGCGACGGCAAUGUCUUGCAGUUGGAUGGCUCGUGAUAUUCUCAGUGUUUUUGAGAGUGGACGAGACUUGAUUUUACGAACCAAGGCAACCUACGAGAACGGUUUUAUGCUAAUUAUACAUUAAUACCCUUUAAUUUUUUAAUUUUAUAGCAAGUAUCGUUACAGUUGUCGUCGUUAUGCAAAUGAGUGAUAUACAUUUUCGCGCUAAGACUUAUGAAUUCAAUAUUAUAAUCCGAUCAUUUUGUUGUUCGCGAUCGCAACACCGUACAUGUUAUUUUCACCACAAUUACUUGUACCAUAUCGAAAGAUAUCGCGUUUUAUCAUCUCGUAUGCGUCCUGGCAAAUUAAACCGUUUCGAUUGAUUUUUGUAUAUUACAUCAAUAUUAGCGGGCAAAUGGGCCAAAAUGAAUUCUAAUUUUACAAACUUCUUCGGAUGCAUUAACAAAUUGACAUAACAAAUUAUUAUUUGCAUGUGUUUGCCCAUCCCCAUAAAGUGGCCGUUGCUCCUAUUCGGCGUGUUUACGUUUCAGAUUUUUCGAACAUAUGAUACAUAUCAUACAUAAUUUUUAGUUAAACGUGCUAUUAUUAUGCCCAUCCAUUUUUGUCCAUAAAGAUUCUUUUCUUUUUUCAAAUAAAAUUGUUUAGAUCGGCGAAA